UGAGGAAUAUUGGACAAUGGGGGAAACCCUGAUCCAGCCAUGCCGCGUGAGUGAAGAAGGCCUUAGGGUUGUAAAGCUCUUUCAAUAGUGAAGAUAAUGACGGUAACUAUACAAGAAGCUCCGGCUAAAUUCGUGCCAGCAGCCGCGGUAAUACGAAUGGAGCAAGCGUUGUUCGGAAUCACUGGGCUUAAAGCGUAUGCAGGCGGAAUCGCAAGUCAGGCGUGAAAUCCCGAGGCUCAACCUCGGAACUGCGCUUGAAACUGCAAUUCUAGAAUACUGGAGAGGUCGGGAGAAUUCCUAGUGUAGAGGUGAAAUUCGCAGAUAUUAGGAGGAAUACCAGUGGCGUAGGCGCCCGACUGGACAGUUAUUGACGCUCAGAUACGAAAGCGUGGGGAGCAAACAGG
rnacentral:rRNA from 1 species